AGAACGAACGCUGGCGGCAGGCUUAACACAUGCAAGUCGAACGCCCCGCAAGGGGAGUGGCAGACGGGUGAGUAACGCGUGGGAACGUACCUUUCAGUUCGGAAUAACUCAGGGAAACUUGUGCUAAUACCGGAUACGCCCGCAAGGGGAAAGAUUUAUCGCUGAAAGAUCGGCCCGCGUUGGAUUAGCUAGUUGGUGGGGUAAAGGCCUACCAAGGCGACGAUCCAUAGCUGGUCUGAGAGGAUGAUCAGCCACACUGGGACUGAGACACGGCCCAGACUCCUACGGGAGGCAGCAGUGGGGAAUAUUGGACAAUGGGCGCAAGCCUGAUCCAGCCAUGCCGCGUGUGUGAUGAAGGCCUUAGGGUUGUAAAGCACUUUCACCGAUGAAGAUAAUGACGGUAGUCGGAGAAGAAGCCCCGGCUAACUUCGUG
rnacentral:rRNA from 1 species